UCCGUAGGCGGUGUGGCAAGUCGGGGGUGGAAAUACUCUGGGCUUAACUCAGAGACUGCCUUCGAAACUGCUGUGCUAGAGUGUGGGAGUAGGCGCGUGGAAUUGCAGGUGUAGCGGUGAAAUGCGUAGAUAUCUGCAGGAACACCCGUGGCGAAAGCGGCGCGCUGGACCACUACUGACGCUGAGGGACGAAAGCUAGGGGAGCAAACAGGAUUAGAUACCCUGGUAGUCCUAGCCCUAAACCAUCAGGACUUGGGGUGCCUCACGUUCGUGAGUCGUCCCGGAGCUAACGCGUUAAGUCCUGCGCCUGGGGAGUACGGUCGCAAGACUGAA
rnacentral:rRNA from 1 species